UGUUGGUCUGGACGCAAUCCGGGAGUGGCAAAAGCUUCUAGAUGCAGUUAUCCCUAUAUCUGCAGCUGCAAUGGCUCUGCCUCCGUUGUCCAUCUGAGGCGAUCUAGGCAUCCUUUCCACAGCAGCCGGUAGAUACGCUCCUUCUCUGUUGCAGUCCUUGAUAAAAAUGGGUCCUCGGGGAGCCCUCAGCGCCACGAAGCUGCUACGCCCGUUCUCGGAGAUUGUCGACUCGCUGGAGCUAAAAAAUCCCUUUGUUCGUAAUUGGAUCGACCUCCUGUGUUUUCUGCUAGCUGGCGUCAAAUCCGGCAGUGCGCUUUCUGCAGAAAUGCCACACCUGGCUGCUGGGAGCUGCUCGUGGAACGGCGACAUGAUGCGAGACUAAGUCACAGUGUGGCGCCUAAGCGCUCGGCGCCACACUGCAAAGUGUGCAACGCCUGAGGCUUAGGCGUCGCACUAUGUGGGAGUGGGGCCGGCCUGUCCAGCGUGGUCGUUUGUGUGGCACCGAACGCUUAGGCGUCACACAGUGUAGUGUGACGCCUAGGUGUCGGACGCCACACAAAAGGGUCAUACGCAUGAAAUCUUUCUCCUGAAGGUUCACUUUAUGAGUUCUUUCGUUUGAGGUGUCAUUUUUGUCAAUUUUGCCCUCCAUUGUCUCCAUGAACUGAACCAAAAGAAAAAAAAUUGGUCACCGGACCGAAUCGGACGUUUAGCGUUGAAUCCAAACCGUCCUUUUCAGUAAACCUCU